rnacentral:rRNA from 1 species
CAGGAUGAACGCUAGCGGCAGGCUUAACACAUGCAAGUCGAGGGGUAAGGUCCCGCUUGCGGGAUACACGACCGGCGCACGGGUGCGUAACGCGUAUGCAACCUGCCUCUGACCGGAGGAUAGCCUCGAGAAAUCGGGAUUAAUACUCCAUAACAUCUAACUACCGCAUGGUAGAGUGAUUAAAACUCCGGUGGUCAGAGAUGGGCAUGCGUGGCAUUAGCUAGUUGGUGAAGUAACGGCUCACCAAGGCAACGAUGCCUAGGGGGUCUGAGAGGACGAUCCCCCACACUGGUACUGAGACACGGACCAGACUCCUACGGGAGGCAGCAGUGAGGAAUAUUGGUCAAUGGGCGCAAGCCUGAACCAGCCAUGCCGCGUGCAGGAUGACGGCUCUAGAAGUUGUAAACUGCUUUUGUAUGGGAAUAAACUGUCCGGUUCUCCGGGCAUUGAAGGUACCAUACGAAUAAGGAUCGGCUAACUCCGUGCCAGCAGCCGCGGUAAUACGGAGGAUCCAAGCGUUAUCCGGAUUUAUUGGGUUUAAAGGGUGUGCAGGCGGAGUAAUAAGUCAGUGGUGAAAUCUUGCGGCUCAACCGUAAAAUUGCCAUUGAUACUGUUAUUCUUGAGUUCAGUUGAGGUGGGCGGAAUGAGUAAUGUAGCGGUGAAAUGCUUAGAUAUUACUCAGAACACCGAUUGCGCAGGCAGCUCGCUAAACUGUAACUGACGCUGAGGCACGAAAGCGUGGGGAGCGAACAGGAUUAGAUACCCUGGUAGUCCACGCCGUAAACUAUGAAUACUGGAUGUGUGCGAUACACUGCACGCGUCUGAGCGACAGCAUUAAGUAUUCCACCUGGGGAGUACGUCCGCAAGGAUGAAACUCA